GUAGACAUGACUUACAAUUUUAAACUCAAUAGUAAAACUUUAAUAAGUUACCUUUUGGCGGUCUGAAAUGAAUGUCCAAUCAUGUUGAAGGUGUUAGGCUAUGUAGAGUUUGGUUUGUGUCUAAUCUAGUUUGUACCCAACUCGAUAUGACAAAAAGAAUGUUACAGUUUAAAUGGAUAUUUUUUAAGGCUUAGGGUGUGGCCUCACCAAUUGUUAGCCCCAAGUAAAAGAGGCUAGGCCGAUUGGGUUCCGCAAAUAGUGUACGGAUCAGUCCUUGCUGAAAGGUGAUGUAUAGGAUAAGAACAACUUUGCUCUAAGGGUUAUGCAAAGCUAGUGAUGUUUGUAUAGAUACUUUAUGUAGAGAUAGUAAGUAUGAAUGAUGGAAUCUUGCCACAUAUUUAGGUAGUUUCAUAGAUGCAUAAAAUGACUUACAUGAAAUGAUGAUACUUUUGAAAGGAAUGUCUUAAGUAAAAUGUUUUAAGAGAAAUAUUUCUUAAAGUCAAUUUUCGAAAAGAAUGUUGCAUUAAAGAUACUUUUAUCUGUAUAAUAAAAUUGAAAUGAUGAUACUUUUGAAAUGAAUGUCUUCUAGUAAAAUGUUUUAAGAGAAAUAUUUUUUAAAGUCAAUUUUUGAAAAGAAUGUUGCAUUAAAGAUACUUUUAUUUGUAUAAUAAAAUUUUGACAAUCACACACUAACACCGACUUACUUGCUUACUAAGUUGUGAACUUAUGCUUUACCUUUACACUUAUUAGGCAUCUAUGUUUUACAGAGGAGCUAGCUAAGAUUUGAGUAAGGAGAACAUUAAGUGAUAUGCAAUCGUUUGGUGUAAAAAGAUUGAUAUGAUUAUCUCUCGAAGACUUAUUAUAAGAUUUUGCAGGCUGCUCUUAGUAAUUAGUACUUUUAGAGUAAGCUGCAGACUUAACAUUUGAGAUGUGCUUGUGUAUUAAGAUUUAAGGGCAUUUUGAGUUAAUAUAUUCAAGGAGACGCUCCUAGUUAAUUGAAAAUCAAGAAAAUAUUGGAGUAAAGAAUAAAACAAACCUUGAGACGUAAAUCCAAUCUUGAAACGAGUGGUCAAAAUGCAAAAACGAUCAUAAUGAUCAUAACUAUCAGAUCAAAAACUUCUUUUGCCUCUGCAAACAUCCCCUCUUUGUGAAGUACGUCUACAAAUAUAUAUGUUGAAAAAGGCAAGAGAAGUUUUUGAUCAAAUGAAUCUAUGAAUUAACCAUUCGGUUGAGGAGUGCAAUUCCAUGAAACCUGAUAGAUAAGUGAAGAAACCUCCUUGAAAUGAUGGUGGGCAAGAACUUUUGAAGUAAAUAAGUUCAAGGAGAAGCUCCGAGUUAAUUACCAAUUAAUUAAUUUUAAUGGCAUUACAUUGUAACUCUUUUUAAAUUUAAUAUCAUUCCCCUUCAUUACGGUAUAUCCCCUAAUGGCUUCUUUAAACACUGGUAUUAGGGAAAAUUCA
rnacentral:precursor_RNA from 1 species